AGCAAGACUCCAUCUCCAUAAAAGAAAGAAGAAAAAAAAAAAAGCAUAAUGGCUUCAUGACAAAUUUGAAUGUGAAGAGAUGAAGAGAAUGCAUCUCAUGCAAUACUGAAAAUACAUGUCAGGGAAGACAGUAAAACAUGCUGAGAAAGAGACGUGUUGGAGCUUCAGGGUCUGCUAUAACACUGGAUGCUCAGCACACUGCCCCAUAUGAAGUCUUGCUCCCCACCUCUCUUCCAAGGCGUGGGGCUCCAUGUUUUCAUCUUCAAGUUGGUUCUCCACAGACUGGAACUAAAUAUUUAGCGAUAUGUGAGGUGAUUCCUCUAUGAGUUUCCUCCCUAAGAAAUUCAUACUGUAAGUACCACAAACUUGGUGGCUUGAAACAACAGGGAUUUAUUAUCACAUGGUUCUGGAGGUUAGAAAUCUGAAAUGAAGGUGUUGGUAAGGCCAUACCCUUUUCCUUGUCUCUAUGAUUCCUGCUGGUUACCGGCAGUCUUUGACAUUCCCCGUCACAUGUCCUUCUUCCCUCUGUGUCUGAGUGUGGUUCCAUGUAUCAUCUUUUUAAAAGACAUCAGUUGUUGGCUUUAGGACUCACCUAACAAUCAAGUAUGACCUCAUCUUAAUUAAUUACAUCUGCAAAAAAUGUACAUUUCCAAUAAGGUCACAUUCUGAGGUUCUAGGUGGACAUAAAUUUUGGGGGUAUUCAACCCAGCACACUGCCUUCGCCAGCUAGUAAUUUGUUGAAAUUCACCCUUCUGUGACUGCUAUGUAACAUGAAAUGGGUCUUUUAAAUCUAUUUCCUUAAGGCAGGGAAUGAAGGAAAGGGGCCUAAGAAAGGCAGCAAGUCCUGGAUGGAAGGUGGAUUAUGACACCUGGGAAAGUAAUAUCCGUGAUGGCUGGAGAGACUCAAACCACAAAUUUGAAUACAAGUAAUUCUAUCCAACUGCCUGAUGCCUUUGGAAUCUACCCCUUGGCCAAGGCCACAACAAAAUAUGGUAAACAGAAUGUAAGGCUAUGAUGGGAUGUAUUUAUAGCCACAGGAAAAUAUAGGGCUCUGCCUUGUGGAGGAGAUGAAAUGGAAACGAAUGUCGUCUAUAAAUAAUCAUCACUGACUUAGUACAUUCAUAAAAUUUCCCAGAAGCAGGAAACUGGAAUGAGAAUAGGCAAACCAGAAGCAAUGCACUGAGCAGUUGUUCUGCCUCCUUUCUUUUCUAGAUGACAAAACUAAAGACCCCCACAGUGAAAAUGCUUAUCCCAAUUUAGCCAGCUAUUAAGUGGCAGAACCCAAACUGGAUCUAAUAUCUCCUGACUCUGUUCUUCCUAUUUUAUCUUGAUACUCCUCAGGAAAAUGAUUAGAAUAAAAUAAAAACGUAUUUCUUGCAAGUUCUGACAAUUAUUACCUAGCAAGAGGAUUUGAGGAAAUGGCAUUUUUGAGGAAAUGGUGAGAAAUUUGCCUUUAAUUCAUUUGUGUGGAGGGAGAGUUCAUUUAAUUUCUUAGUUUAAUAUUAAGUUGUAGAAACAGUGUUUGAUAAACCGAAUCACAGGAGGAAAAAUAAGAAAAAGCUCCUUAGCAGUAGGCAUGAUGUUACAAUUUGUCAGCAGGAGGCGCUAGAGAGACAUUGCAGGAGGAAGGGCUUGCCUUCUGGGACUGGUGCGCACAGCUUCUCUACCUCUUGGGCAGUUUGGUAGCCGAGUGCCUCCAGUGAGAUGCCUCCCAGUGAAUGGCUGUCUCUUGCACCCUAGAGGGAAGACUUUUGGUAAGUUCUGAAGGGCAGAUUUCAGGAAAGUUUCACUACCAGGGCAAAACAGUGACUUUUCUGCUAUCCAGUGAGCCAAGGCUAUGCACCAUAGAGGAGGUGCCUAACAAUCAAGUGCACAAAAUGACACUCUAGGUGAAUACAAGUCAGUCUCUUUCCCUAGUGCUUGCUCAACUGACUGUAAACAAAGUAACCACGGUGGCAGGGAUGGAGGCUAUGUAUGGGCUCAAAAACAGGGACCGCCCCCACUCACCAAAACUGACCUAGCGAACACCACCAUGUGUACCUACUUUGUCAACAGCAGAGGUCAAUACUAAGCCCUUCAAGUGGUCUGUGGGAACCAGCCAGCCACCUGGUGGCAGAUUGAUUACAUUGGACCAUUUUAUUCACAGAAGAAACAGAUUAAUCCUCAGUGGAAUAGAUAUAUAUUCUGCAUAUGGAUUCGCCUUCCCUGCCUGUUAUGCUUCAGCUAGCCCUACUAUCUAUGUACUUACAAAAUACCUUAGUCAUCUUCUUGGUAUUCUGCACAGCAUUGUUUCUCAUCAAGGAGCUCAUUUCACAGCAAAUGAAGGAUAGCAAUGAGUUCAUAUCUGGAAGGAAUCAAUUGGUCUUACCACCCACAUACUCCAACAUCCAGAAGCAGCUGGCCUAACUGAAAGUUGGAAUGACUUACUGAAGACUCAGUUAUGGUGUCAGUUGGGAGAUAGCGCCCCAAAACAACAGCAUUCUGUCUUACAAGGUAUCAUACAUGCUUGGAAUCUGAGAUCAUUAUGAUGCUGUUUCUUCAUAGCCAGAUUACAUGGAUCUGGGCAUCAAGGGGUAAAAGCGAGCAUGACUCCUUUCACUUUUAUACCCAAUAACCCAUUUGCAGAAUUUUUCUUCCUCUUUCAGAGACUUUGAACUAUGCUGGUUUGGAAGUCAUAGUCCCCAAGGGAGGGAUUCUUCCACCAGCAGACACAAUGUUUCAAUUGAAUUGGACCAUUCAGGAAGGUGAAACUGCUUCCCAGACAUAUUAGACUUCUUAUACCAUUGGACCAACUGGAAAAUAAAAAGGAGUUGUUAUAGGUGAGGUACUUGAUCAUGGUUACCAAGAGGAACUUGUGUUGCUACUACACUAUAGGGGCAAGGACUGUGUCUGAAACUCAGGGAGUUAUCCAGGUUUGCCUCUUAUACUUCUGUGGCCACUAGUAAAUGUUAAUGGAAAACUACAGAAACCAAAAAAGUCAAGGUUAACAACUUAGAUUCUCCAGGAAUAAAGGUUUGGGUCACUAUACUGGGUAGAGAACCCCAACAAGCUGUGUUUCUGGCUGAGGAUGGAGGAUAGGUGAACUAGUUAAUGGAAGAAGGAAGAGGCAGAUAUUCAGUUUCACAACAAAUUACACAACCAAGGACAGUAAUAGCUUUGUGUAUUUUCUGUUUGCUUAUUAUAUACAAUUUUGUAUUUCAUAUUCUAACCAUUUUCAUCUUCUCUCUCUACAUUGUCGUUUGAUAUACACAUAGUUGAAACUUAACUUUACAAUGUAUUGUUUCGGUUACAGAAUAUUUAGUGGGACUAUGAAUGAAUUCGAGGAGUAAUUAAUAUAACCAGUGAUGAAUACGAUGACUGCCAGGACUGUGCAUCUUUACAUUUUGAGGAAAUGGAGCAAGAACACAGAAGGAUGUUUCCAGACUAGGAAAAAUAAUUAUACAAUACAAUACUACCUGGUUCAUUUGUGAAAAAUAUUUGCAAAAUCAUACUAUGAUGAAGACGUACCAUUAUAUUGUAUUGCAACUGUAUUUAGAGGAAGAGGAUGAACUGAAUUUCCAUUUUCUAGGCCCAUUCCAAUGACCCCUGGUUUGGAUGAGGACAUAGGACGAGGGGCUGCAAGAUCAGGAGCACAUCUAGCUCUGGCCUCUGGGGCCACAUGGUCACCUGGGGAGACUAAGACAUCCAGGAGCCUGGAAGCAGAGCAAAGAGCCAUCUCUGAAGAGGAGGAAGAACACAUCGAAGAAGAAGGUUUUUCUUCAGGAACCACCACACACUUGCUUUCGGAUGAAGUUUAAAGCCAUUAAGCUUCCCCUCCUACUUAAAGCUCUUCUUCUCUAUUUUUCCUGCAUGCCCUGGUUUUUAUCAGUGACAACACAUUGUUCCCUAAGUCUCACUGUCUCCCAAAGAGGAGCUUCAAGGUUCAUCUUUGUCUCCCCAAGUCUGAAAAUAUCAGAUAAUAUGCUUGCAACUUCAUCUUGAUGGCUUAAUUCCCGCUCCUGUCAUUUACACUUCACUUCCCUGUUUUGUCUCCUUCAUCCUGCCUUGCCCAACCCUGGGAGACUCUGUGUCUCCCAUAUUACUCCCCUGCUCGGGACCUGAAUGACUCCCUACUGCCUGCCUAAGCCAGUUCAAGUUCCCCUGGUUUCCUGGGCCUUCCAUAAUCUGUCCUGGCCUUAUCUACCCCCACUUACUUCCCAACUAGGAGGUGUUGUGGCCAUGGCAGAGGAAGGGGUAAAAGACCAGUCAUUCAGCCUUGUGUGACUAUAAAGCAGUGUACCUAUAACAAAAAUUUCCUGCUUUUAGGAGCAUAAAAAUAAGUUUUACACAAAAUCAAUAACAGAAGCACUCAGAUUGAAGCGUAUUUUUAAAGGUAUUGGUGGGAGUGAUUCAGAGUCAGCAGACACAGGGUGUGGACAUGAGCUCAGAAUGGCUUCUCUGGAGCAAAAUCUGUGAUCCUGCAAAGCAAAAGCUGCCAGUCCUUUCUCAUCACUAUCCCUUUCCUGGUGUGACGUGAUUAUGGUCAGAACUAUGUUCUCCAAAAGGAUCCAUUGAAGUCCUACCCCCAGUACGUCAGAGUGUGACCUUAUUUGGAUAUAGGGUCAUUGCAGAUAUAAUUAGUGAAAAUGAGGUCAUAGUGUAGGCCCUAAUUUAAUAUGACUGGUGUCCUUAUAAGAAGAGGGAAGAGGCCGAAUGUGGUAGCUCACGCCUGUAA